CCCAGACCCAGCCCCGCCCCAGACCCAACCAGUCCAGCCCCUCCCCCAGACGGCGGCGUCCCCACCCACAAACCACCGUCACCAAGGCAACGCCGCGCCCCGGUCAAACGGGAACCCACUGACCCAGGAGGCUCUUCAGAGCCACACCAAGCACGCCCAGACCUUCCAGAACCGGAACCAGCAGACCCAGGCCGCCCUGCAGCGCCCUCCGCCCCCCCCCCUGGUCAUCCCCAUGAGCCAGUUCAAGGAGCUCCCCCGGGAGCGGCUCCAGGACCGGCCCCCCAACAGACCGGCCCCCCGGCCCACCGCCCACCUGCCCGCCGGACAGCGCCUCCGCCUGCAGGCCGACCCGCACCACCCUCGAGCCACGGGCCACGCCCCCCGUGGUCACCACGCCCAAGGUCACCACGGCAACCCCCACCAGAACCAGACUCGCAGAGAUAGGCCUCAUUGACGAACAAUGUCCCCUGUGUGCGGCUGCGGUACUCCAGAGGGCCUGUGACUUCAGGGGCCUGUGACUUCAGGGGCCAGGAUCAGUCAGGAAGACCCGUCUCCACCUCAUGGCCUGUCCUGUUGAGUAUUAAUGCUCCUGUUGAGUGUUGAGUGUUGAUUUAAGGGGCGUUGUCACACAGUGUGUGAACACAUGGGCGUGGUCGUUCCUGGGCUUUCCCUCAGGAGCUAUGCAUCACAUGACCUAACAGAAGAGAGGCCUCUCCAAUCCCUGGCCCCCUGCUGGCCAAAGCGUGGUAUAACUACACAUACUGGAAGGGCUUCGAGAGGAAGAGGAGGACACGAUCACAGGAGUUACGCACGGGGUCGCCACGGAGUCACCCGGCGUAGCACCGCCUCGACCGGAUGGGAAAUAAACGCGGUUAACGCACCGAGACACUGGGAGGAAGACACAGGGAAUGUGAUUUAGUGUUUGUUAUUUACUGCCAUUCUUUGUGAUUGUUUACUCUCAGGGAACGAUUGUACAGUGAACAAAGAGGUUUUAUAAUCGGUUUAACGUUAACCCCUAUUGUUAUUUAAAUCUCUUCCAUGAAAUGUAGGACAUCGUUUAUAUGACAUUUAAAUGAAUGCAAAGCUUUUUAAUAACUUCAAUAAUUUCUUUGGCAAAAUAAAACGUUUGAAUGUCAAGAGUAGGCCUACGAUAAGUAACAUCCAAAAUCCCCCAAUUACCUCUCGAAGUUGUUGAGACGGCUGGGCAAUGAGGGCCAUCCCUGUAGUGAGAGGGAUUUAAUCAAACGAUAACCAAAAGAAGCAUUACAUAUGCAGACGCCACCGUUCAGCUCAUAUUUUAUCGUCCCGCAAUGGAAACUCACUAUGCAUCAGGGCAUGAUAUACAUUAAAAAUAGAUGGUACUUAGAAAAUACUGAACUCUGCGGUAUUGAAAAACCCACCGUCCCACGGUCUACAGAGAGUUAUUUCAGUCGCCAUUUACUUGCAUUUAGUGUUGGCAUAGGCUGCCGCUACACGAUUGCCAAUGUCAAUGCUAUCCUGCGCCCAGCCUAUUAACUGUUUAAUAACGAUGACCCCUUAAAUGCCCCCCCUUAUGUUAUCAGGUGAGGGAGAACCCAAACAAUUACAUUAUUUAUAUAUUAUAGCCUAAUUCCUUUUUUUUUUUAUGCGUCGAAAAAUAUCUGUGGGGGUAAAUAACAUUGGAGGCGGGCUUGUACUUCAGUUUGUAUGUUUGUUUGUGCAUUAUUCAAGAAAGACUAGUUUGAGUUACAGAUCUUAGCUGGAAUUAAGAUCACUAUCUGCUGUCAGGGAGUGGCCACUUUCAGAAUCAUUAGUGUGUCAAUACUGCCCGGUUACUGGGUUACUAUGUGUGUAUGUAUAGAUGUAUCUGAUGGGUUUUUAAUUAAGAUGUAUUUUAUGGUCUGUAUAGGAUGCUGCCUCACAGGACUAUUUAAAAGAACAAGAGCCUUAGGAAUCAAAUGAGCUGUUUAGACUUGCUCUGUCUGAACGGACAGAAUAGGCCUACCUAAUAAAGCCGUCUGAACUUCUGUUCUGAACAAGGAGCCUGACUUUUUCGCAUCGACUCUGUAAAGUUCCUUCUGUUAUUUGUCCUUCACACGCCGUGUGCUACUUCUGUUCCCAGUCCACGCCUCUGAUAAGUAGAGCUGAACGGGCGGCCACUUCUGCUCGGUCUUCUGCUGACGUGCGAAUCGGUACAGGCAUCAGUUUGGUAUUUCCGUUAAUAGAGUGAAAAAUAAAGUGUGUG
ensembl:lncRNA